rnacentral:lncRNA from 1 species
CUAGUGGUCGCUGGCUGUGGUCUUGCGCUCAGAUGCUCGGAUCCUCCUCUCCUUUGCGUUCCAGUGAAUCUGCGUCACUUGCAAAUCGCUUUUGGCUUCCUCCUGGUUUUCAGGCAAAUGCAAAUGGUACCUACAGAGCAAUUUGUCAAGUGUGUUAAUGAAGUCCAGACAGGAGAUCUCCUGCACAGCCCGCGUUCAGAAGGCGACUUCUGAUCAAAGACAAUUAUUGAGUGAGCCCAAGGUGAGCUGCUUCUCUGCCGUUUUAAUCCAGUUAUCUGCCUGGUUUUGGAGAUGUGGCAGAGGCGAGACUGACCCGUCCUGGGGAC